AGUGAACGCUGGCGGUAGGCCUAACACAUGCAAGUCGAACGGCAGCACAGUAAGAGCUUGCUCUUACGGGUGGCGAGUGGCGGACGGGUGAGGAAUACAUCGGAAUCUACUUUUUCGUGGGGGAUAACGUAGGGAAACUUACGCUAAUACCGCAUACGACCUACGGGUGAAAGCAGGGGAUCUUCGGACCUUGCGCGAUUGAAUGAGCCGAUGUCGGAUUAGCUAGUUGGCGGGGUAAAGGCCCACCAAGGCAACGAUCCGUGGCUGGUCUGAGAGGAUGAUCAGCCACACUGGAACUGAGACACGGUCCAGACUCCUACGGGGGGCAACAGUGGGGAAUAUUGGACAAGGGGAGCAAGCCUGAUCCAGCCAUACCGCGUGAGUGAUGAAGGCCUUCGGGUUGUAAAGCCCUUUUGUUGGGAAAGAAAAGCAGCAGGUUAAUACCCCGCUGUUCUGACGGUACCCAAAGAAUAAGCACCGGCUAACUUCGUG
rnacentral:rRNA from 1 species